AUCAAAUCUAUCACACGAUCUGACGGCUGUGGUGGCUCCUGACUUUGAAUAGGAAUGAUUUUGUAAGAUCCGAUGGAUGGAAUCCCAUCUAAAGUACAAUCGAAUGGUCAAAAAUAAAUCCAACUUUGAUAAGGAUUAAAACAUCAGAUUUUGGGCUGAUCUGGGCGGUGCAGAGGCAAUUCGACGGCCAGAAUUAAUUUAUACGAGUAUAAUAUGAUUUCUAAAGAUUUUGGGACUCAUUUUAUGAUCA
rnacentral:lncRNA from 1 species